rnacentral:tRNA from 1 species
GCGGAAAUAGCUCAGUUGGUAGAGCAUAACCUUGCCAAGGUUAGGGUCGCGAGUUCGAGUCUCGUUUUCCGGU